ensembl:misc_RNA Metazoa_SRP Metazoan signal recognition particle RNA
GCUGGGUGUGGUGGUGUGCACCUGUAGUCUUAGCCACUUGGGAGGCUGAGGCAGGAGAAUUGCUUGAGCCCAGGAGUUUGAGGCUGCAGUGAGCCACUGCACUCCAGCCUGGUUGACAGAGUGAUACCCUGUCUCUA